rnacentral:rRNA from 1 species
GAUGAACGCUGGCGGCGUGCCUAAUACAUGCAAGUCGAGCGAACAGACGAGGAGCUUGCUCCUCUGACGUUAGCGGCGGACGGGUGAGUAACACGUGGAUAACCUACCUAUAAGACUGGGAUAACUUCGGGAAACCGGAGCUAAUACCGGAUAAUAUAUUGAACCGCAUGGUUCAAUAGUGAAAGACGGUUUUGCUGUCACUUAUAGAUGGAUCCGCGCCGCAUUAGCUAGUUGGUAAGGUAACGGCUUACCAAGGCGACGAUGCGUAGCCGACCUGAGAGGGUGAUCGGCGACACUGGAACUGAGACACGGUCCAGACUCCUACGGGAGGCAGCAGUAGGGAAUCUUCCGCAAUGGGCGAAAGCCUGACGGAGCAACGCCGCGUGAGUGAUGAAGGUCUUCGGAUCGUAAAACUCUGUUAUUAGGGAAGAACAAAUGUGUAAGUAACUAUGCACGUCUUGACGGUACCUAAUCAGAAAGCAACGGCUAACUACGUG